rnacentral:rRNA from 1 species
UACGAAGGGGGCUAGCGUUGCUCGGAAUCACUGGGCGUAAAGUGCACGUAGGCGGAUCGCUAAGUCAGGGGUGAAAUCCUGGAGCUCAACUCCAGAACUGCCUUUGAUACUGGCAAUCUCGAGUCCGGGAGAGGUGAGUGGAACUGCGAGUGUAGAGGUGAAAUUCGUAGAUAUUCGCAAGAACACCAGUGGCGAAGGCGGCUCACUGGCCCGGUACUGACGCUGAGGUGCGAAAGCGUGGGGAGCAAACAGG